UUGUUUUUUUGUCCCAGACUCCAACUCCAGCAGGCACUCUCCUGCUAGCCCAAGGGCCACUACUCACAGGGCAACAAGGAGGCUGAAGAUGGACCCUCUCCCUCUACUCCUGCGAUCUGAUGGCCCCGGUCACGUCCCAGCUCUGUAGCAGGAAACCUGCUGAGGUCUCCCUUUCCUCUCUGACCCCAUCCUCAAUGGAUCACGAAGACCUUCUCCUCCAACCUUCUUUCCCCCAAUCCAUCCCUCCUAGCCUUCAACACUAAUAGCCACUCCCCAUGGACAUACGAACUGAUCAGGGCAAAAACCAGGUAACACACAGCAUCACGUGCUUCAAAAAUCCCGAGAGGAAACAGAAGCCAAGGAACAAAACACCCACCCCACAAAGACACACCCAGCAGUCAGCGCCUAGAUAUUUAAUCAUCGCCAAAACAGAUGCUGAAAGAAACACCUGUGUGAAAGCAGAGUCAACAACGGCCAGGGCAUUAACUCUCCAGAAGAGUUCACCUAUUCUACCAUAGCAGGCCAGAAAUAGUCCAGCCUAGCCGAAGCCCAAGAAAAUGACCCCAUAUCAGCCUUUAUGAACAUGGUAGCAUUUCCUUAAAGAGGAAAUGAAGAAAUCCAGAAAAACACAACAAACUAGUUUUAAGGAGAUAACUGGCAUGUUCAAAACCUGAAGUUGGGAACAGAAUCAAUAAAGAAAACCCAAACUAAGGCUAAGGGACUUGAGGACCUGCAAAAAUUUAGGAAUUUUUUUUUUUUUUUGAGCUGGGGACCAAACCCAGGGCCUUGCACUUGCUAGGCAAGCGCUCUACCACUGAGCUAAAUCCCCAACCCCAAAAAUUUAGGAAUUCUAAUGGGAAGUACAGAUGCAAGCAUCACCAACAGGAGACAAGAGACGGAAGAGAGAAUUAUUUCUGGUAUAGAAGAUAUGGUAGAAGAAAUCGAUCCAUUGGUUAAAGAAAACGUUAAAUCUAAAAAACUCCUGACUCAAAAUACCCAGGAAACCUGGGACGCCAUGAGAAGACUAAACCUAGGAAUCACGGGAAUGCAGGAAGGAGAGGAAACCAAGCCUAGAGGCCCAGAAGAUGCUUUUAAUAAAAUCACAGAUGAAACCUUUCCUAACCUAAGGAAGGAGAUGCCUAUAAAGGUACAAGAAAUUUACAGAACACCAAAUAGAUCGGACCCUGAAAGGAAGUCCCCGCGGCAUAUAAUAAAGAAAGCACUAAGAACACACAGAACACAGACUAUUAAAAGCUGCAAGGGAAAAAUACCAAGUCACAUAUAAAGGCAGACCUAUUGGAAUUAUAUCCAACGUCUCAAUGGAGACUGUAAAAGCCAGAAAGUCCUACAGACUCUUAAGUGAUCGUAGAUGCCAGCUCAGAUGACCAUACCCAGCAAAACUUUCCAUCCCUGUAGAUGAAGAAAAUAAGUUGUUUUAUGAUAAAGUCAAUUUUAACAACAUCUCUCUGUUGGAAUACUAAGCUCUACUCCCACAGCUACCUGGGAACAGCCAGGUAUGUUCCGCCCCACAGUUGCCUGGCAACAGCCACCUGUGCCUGACACUAUAAAAGUGGCUGCUUGCCCUCUCUUCCCCUCUCUUACUCCCCUCUCUUACUCCCCUCUUACCCCCUCUUGCUCUUUGUUCUUUGCCUCUCUUGUCCCCUCCACCCCCCGCCCCCGCUCCCCCAACGUGCCUAUGGCCGGUCUCCUUUCCACUCUUCUACUCUUCUCUCAUUAAACCUCUCCAUGUGGAACCAUGGUAGCUUGGUGUUUUAUGUCCGGUUACGGGCAGAGAUUUAAAACCUGACAUUGGUGCCAAAACCCAGGAUCCAACCAGGAACCCUAACAAUGGUGCCCUGUGAGAGAACCCUAACAAUGAUGCACCCUGUGAGGACAUUGAUCUCCUGUGGUGCCUGUCGCCCUGUCGCCGGCUGCAGCGGUGGGAACCUCGGGGCCGAGGACAGGCUCGUCCCACGGCGCGCCUCCGCCGGCCGCCCAGGCACCCUAGCCUGCCCUGGUCAUGGUCAUGGUCCUGUGCUCCCUCGGAGCUACGGUCCACUCUGGGCCCGUGGCGCAGUCGCGGUCACUCGCUAUGGGCUGCGUGUUUGCACUGGCUGUGGUGAGGAAGAAUGGAGAUGCACGCCACUUCUGUACACAGGACCCGAGAUCGCCGCCUAGCGUGCUGCUGUUGGGCCCUGCCGUUAAAUCUGCCGCCGCUUCUGCGCACGUCACACGAAUUCGAUCUCAGCUGCUGCCUCCACCACUCCAUCUAUGCCUUUGGACCACCACCACCUGCUGGCUGCUGUGGGACUCAGGGCAUCCAUCACUCCAGCAGGAUGCCCAAUCGCCAUGAUGCCCCGCUUAUAGCUGUCCACCAAGGAGAGCGCCCUCUUCAAGCACGUGCUGGUCAUCCAGACAGAAGCUAAAUGAACACCGGAGCUAACAAACCUUGCCAACCCAACGGACACAAAAGAGUACACCUUCUUCCCGGCACCUCGUGAAACUUUCUCCAAAAUCAACCACAUACCUGGACGCAAAGUGAGUCUCAGCCGAUGGAAGAAAAUGGAAGUAAGUCCCAGCGCUGACCACAAUGGAUCAAAGCUGAACCAGGGACACACAAAAAAAGCUCACAAACUUCCGGGACGGACAACUGUACUGGAGAAAAGUGGCUUAAUCCGGAAAUAGAGAAAUUAAGGAUGUUUUAGAAUUCGAUGGAAACACACACGCACAGUAACACUUGAUAAUACUGAAUAAUAAUUAUAAAUACACAGCCCGUCCAAACCUGUGGGACACAAUAAACGUGGUGCUAGGAAGAAUGUUCACAGCGCCAAGUGCCCUGCGUGGAAAAAAACUGGAUCGAUCUCACACUAGCAGCUUAAUAGCAUAGCUGAAGGCUUGAGAACAAAAAGAUCCAAUCAGACUCAAGAGGAGUGGACAGCAGGAAAUAAUCAAACGGAGGGAUGAUAUCAAUAAAAUCGAAACGAA